rnacentral:rRNA from 1 species
GAAUUCGCCCUUAGAGUUUGAUCUGGCUCAGGACGAACGCUGGCGGCGCGCCUAACACAUGCAAGUCGAACGGGACUAUGCUGGAAGAAGUUUUCGGAUGGAUUUUGGUAUAGUUUAGUGGCGGACGGGUGAGUAACACGUGAGCAACCUGCCUUCGAGAGGGGAAUAACGGCUGGAAACGGUCGCUAAUACCGCAUAAUAUACAGGAGGGACAUCCCUUUUGUAUCAAAGAUUUAUCGCUCGAAGAUGGGCUCGCGUCCGAUUAGGUAGUUGGUGAGGUAACGGCCCACCAAGCCGACGAUCGGUAGCCGGACUGAGAGGUUGAACGGCCACAUUGGGACUGAGACACGGCCCAGACUCCUACGGGAGGCAGCAGUGGGGGAUAUUGCACAAUGGGGGAAACCCUGAUGCAGCGACGCCGCGUGUGGGAAGACGGUCCUCUGGAUUGUAAACCACUGUCCCCAGGGACGAAGAUGACGGUACCUGGGGAGGAAGCUCCGGCUAACUACGUGCCAGCAGCCGCGGUAAUACGUAGGGAGCAAGCGUUGUCCGGAAUUACUGGGUGUAAAGGGAGCGUAGGCGGGAUGGCAAGUUGGGUGUUAAAUCUACCGGCUCAACUGGUAGUCGCACUCAAAACUGCUAUUCUUGAGUGAAGUAGAGGCAGGCGGAAUUCCUAGUGUAGCGGUGAAAUGCGUAGAUAUUAGGAGGAACACCAGUGGCGAAGGCGGCCUGCUGGGCUUUUACUGACGCUGAGGCUCGAAAGUGUGGGGAGCAAACAGGAUUAGAUACCCUGGUAGUCCACACCGUAAACGAUGAUUACUAGGUGUGGGGGGUCUGACCCCCUCCGUGCCGGAGCAAACGCAAUAAGUAAUCCACCUGGGGAGUACGGCCGCAAGGUUGAAACUCAAAGGAAUUGACGGGGGCCCGCACAAGCAGUGGAGUAUGUGGUUUAAUUCGAAGCAACGCGAAGAACCUUACCAGGUCUUGACAUCGUGUGCAUAGCCUAGAGAUAGGUGAAGUCCUUCGGGACACACAGACAGGUGGUGCAUGGUUGUCGUCAGCUCGUGUCGUGAGAUGUUGGGUUAAGUCCCGCAACGAGCGCAACCCUUGUAUUUAGUUGCUACGCAAGAGCACUCUAGAUAGACUGCCGUUGACAAAACGGAGGAAGGUGGGGAUGACGUCAAAUCAUCAUGCCCCUUACGACCUGGGCCACACACGUACUACAAUGGCGCACAACAGAGGGAAGCAAGACAGCGAUGUGGAGCAAACCCCUAAAAUGCGUCCCAGUUCAGAUUGCAGGCUGCAACCCGCCUGCAUGAAGUCGGAAUUGCUAGUAAUCGCGGAUCAGCAUGCCGCGGUGAAUACGUUCCCGGGCCUUGCACUCACCGCCCGUCA